AUACGGAAGGUCCGGGCGUUAUCCGGAUUUAUUGGGUUUAAAGGGAGCGUAGGCCGGAGGGUAAGCGUGUUGUGAAAUGCAGUUGCUCAACAUCUGCACUGCAGCGCGAACUGUUCUCCUUGAGUGCGCAGGAAGUAGGCGGAAUUCGUCGUGUAGCGGUGAAAUGCUUAGAUAUGACGAAGAACUCCGAUUGGGAAGCCAGCUUACUGUAGCGCCACUGACGCUGAUGCUCGAAAGUGCGGGUAUC
rnacentral:rRNA from 1 species